rnacentral:lncRNA from 1 species
CUGAUGAGUCACUAUUUAUAUGUCAAACUCUGAUACUUUAAAAUGAAGACAUUCUACAAUAUUUUGUUAUUAAUAUUAUUAUUUAUAUGGCUGAUUAUUGUCUUCUAUUUAUCUUAGGAAGAUAGGGAAAAACUUCUCGAGGGAGCUAUAUAAGAGUUCCUGAGAUAAAAUGAAAAAUACACUCAAUGAAAAGUCAGAACAUCUAGAAAUCUGGAUUCAAGUUCUCACUCCACCACUUAGAAGCUGUCUGAACCUGGGAAAUUUUUCAAGAAUAUAAUAUGGAGAAAAGCUGCUUAUCUCCCCUCAAGAAGACAUUUUCCACACUGGGAGUUGUUCACACCAAAGAAAUCUUGGACCAGGAC